rnacentral:rRNA from 1 species
CCCUUUGUACACACCGCCCGUCGCUACUACCGAUUGAACGGCUCAGUGAGGCCUCCGGACUGGCCCAGGGAGGUGGGCAACUACCACCCAGGUGCUGGAAAGUUGUACGAACUCGGUCGUUUAGAGGAAGUAAAAGUCGUAACAAGGUCUCCGUUGGUGAACCAGCGGAGGGAUCAUUACAGAGUUGAAAAACUCCAACCCCUGUGAACCUUACCAUUACUGUUGCUUCGGCGGACGAAGGCCCCCUUGGGGCUGGAUGCCGCCGGAGGUUUCAAACUCUGAAUCUUUGUGUAUCUCUGAGGAAAAAAACAAAUAAUUAAAACUUUCAACAACGGAUCUCUUGGUUCUGGCAUCGAUGAAGAACGCAGCGAAAUGCGAUAAGUAAUGUGAAUUGCAGAAUUCAGUGAAUCAUCGAAUCUUUGAACGCACAUUGCGCCCGCUGGUAUUCCGGCGGGCAUGCCUGUUCGAGCGUCAUUUCACCACUCAAGCCCAGCUUGGUGUUGGAGCACCCGGCCGCCUGGCGAUCGGGGCCCCCAAGUACAUCGGCGGUCUCGCUAGGACCCUGAGCGCAGUAACUCGCGGUAAAACGCGCCUCGCUCGGAAGUUCCCAGCGGGCUUCCAGCCGCUAAACCCCCUAAUUUUCUUAGGUUGACCUCGGAUCAGGUAGGAAUACCCGCUGAACUUAAGC